CAGUACCAUGGUAGGAUUGAUAUGAAGAAAGCCUGUAAUCUGAACUGGAUAUAAUGGGUUACCGCUUUCAACCCACCAGUCCCCCAAUGUUACGUCACCUCUCAAGCCCCAUCAAUGAUUCAGUAGGCCAGGGAAAGUGCUGGUCUCCUGUACCCCACUGACUCUCACUGAGUCUGGGACAGCAGUAGCAGGACUGUCCAGGACUGGGAUGAUGCUAAGGAAGUCAGGGCCAGGGGUCUGCAGGUGACCCACCCUGCUGCUUUGGUGCCUGUAUGUCUGUGUGAAGGAGCACACUGUCUAUGACCACAACAGAACGGAGAAAACCAGGGAGAUGGAAAGGCCAUUUUGUGAACAAGGUGAACGUUUAAGGGAGUGUGAUGCUGGAGACAGUGUUCAAACGCUUGGACUCCCAGGGGACCUUGCAGUGUGACGGUCGCCACAAUGUCUCCCUUCCAGUGUACACAGUGCAGACAAGUGAUGCAGGGUCUCCUCAAUGACGAGAUUCAGAAGUUUUGUCCAGAGAAAAGCAACUCAACAGGUGACUCUGGUAUCAGAGAGGAAGGAGGGGCUGGUCUGGGUCUGAUUGGUCCAGCAGAGACACCAUCUGGGGAGGAACCAUCAGCUC